GUCUAUGAUCAUGCUACCCUGAACAAGGCUGAUCUCGUCUGAUCUCGGAAGCUAAGCAGGGACGGGCCAGGUUAGUACUUGGAUGGGAGACCACCUAGGAAGACCAGGUGCUGUAGGUG
rfam:Pteropus alecto contig31429, whole genome shotgun sequence.